rnacentral:rRNA from 1 species
UACGUAGGGUGCAAGCGUUGCCCGGAAUUAUUGGGCGUAAAGAGCUCGUAGGCGGUCUGUCACGUCGGCUGUGAAAACCCGGGGCUCAACCCCGGGCCUGCAGUCGAUACGGGCAGACUAGAGUGCGGUAGGGGAGACUGGAAUUCCUGGUGUAGCGGUGAAAUGCGCAGAUAUCAGGAGGAACACCGGUGGCGAAGGCGGGUCUCUGGGCCGUAACUGACGCUGAGGAGCGAAAGCGUGGGGAGCGAACAGG